AAGAGAAGCUUUACUGGUGUUCCAGCCCUAAGAAACCUUUGUUCAACAAAACUGCAGAUGCUCUGUUGAAUCCACUGGAGAUUGUCCUCAUACUAAGGACAAGUAUCAACCAUCUUUCCUGUGAAAAAUUCCCUCUCCUAGUACUUUAGUUCUGUGGAUCCAAAAUUUAUAGCAUUCUUCUACCACCACAGGGGCUCAUAUGACAUUAACAGACAAGACACUUUUCAGAAAGACAGGUUGUUCUUUUGGGCCACAUCUAAGAAAUCUUUGUCUAGCCAAAAGCCACAAAUAAUUUCUCAUUUUUUGGCUUCUGGAAGAUGUACAGUUAAAUGUUAUAUUUGGGACUGUUAUCUAAUUUGAUUAAAUUGCACUCUACAAUAUGAUAUUUGAAUUGAUGAAAAAUUAGUAAAUGUUAAUAUUUUUUAAAGUA
rnacentral:antisense_RNA from 1 species